rnacentral:rRNA from 1 species
GAUGAACGCUGGCGGCGUGCCUAAUACAUGCAAGUCGAGCGAACGGACGAGAAGCUUGCUUCUCUGAUGUUAGCGGCGGACGGGUGAGUAACACGUGGAUAACCUACCUAUAAGACUGGGAUAACUUCGGGAAACCGGAGCUAAUACCGGAUAAUAUUUUGAACCGCAUGGUUCAAAAGUGAAAGACGGUCUUGCUGUCACUUAUAGAUGGAUCCGCGCUGCAUUAGCUAGUUGGUAAGGUAACGGCUUACCAAGGCAACGAUGCAUAGCCGACCUGAGAGGGUGAUCGGCCACACUGGAACUGAGACACGGUCCAGACUCCUACGGGAGGCAGCAGUAGGGAAUCUUCCGCAAUGGGCGAAAGCCUGACGGAGCAACGCCGCGUGAGUGAUGAAGGUCUUCGGAUCGUAAAACUCUGUUAUUAGGGAAGAACAUAUGUGUAAGUAACUGUGCACAUCUUGACGGUACCUAAUCAGAAAGCCACGGCUAACUACGUGCCAGCAGCCGCGGUAAUACGUAGGUGGCAAGCGUUAUCCGGAAUUAUUGGGCGUAAAGCGCGCGUAGGCGGUUUUUUAAGUCUGAUGUGAAAGCCCACGGCUCAACCGUGGAGGGUCAUUGGAAACUGGAAAACUUGAGUGCAGAAGAGGAAAGUGGAAUUCCAUGUGUAGCGGUGAAAUGCGCAGAGAUAUGGAGGAACACCAGUGGCGAAGGCGACUUUCUGGUCUGUAACUGACGCUGAUGUGCGAAAGCGUGGGGAUCAAACAGGAUUAGAUACCCUGGUAGUCCACGCCGUAAACGAUGAGUGCUAAGUGUUAGGGGGUUUCCGCCCCUUAGUGCUGCAGCUAACGCAUUAAGCACUCCGCCUGGGGAGUACGACCGCAAGGUUGAAACUCAAAGGAAUUGACGGGGACCCGCACAAGCGGUGGAGCAUGUGGUUUAAUUCGAAGCAACGCGAAGAACCUUACCAAAUCUUGACAUCCUUUGACAACUCUAGAGAUAGAGCCUUCCCCUUCGGGGGGCAAAGUGACAGGUGGUGCAUGGUUGUCGUCAGCUCGUGUCGUGAGAUGUUGGGUUAAGUCCCGCAACGAGCGCAACCCUUAAGCUUAGUUGCCAUCAUUAAGUUGGGCACUCUAAGUUGACUGCCGGUGACAAACCGGAGGAAGGUGGGGAUGACGUCAAAUCAUCAUGCCCCUUAUGAUUUGGGCUACACACGUGCUACAAUGGACAAUACAAAGGGCAGCGACACCGCGAGGUCAAGCAAAUCCCAUAAAGUUGUUCUCAGUUCGGAUUGUAGUCUGCAACUCGACUACAUGAAGCUGGAAUCGCUAGUAAUCGUAGAUCAGCAUGCUACGGUGAAUACGUUCCCGGGUCU